rnacentral:rRNA from 1 species
UGGGGAAUAUUGGACAAUGGGGGCAACCCUGAUCCAGCCAUGCCGCGUGCGUGAAGAAGGCCUUAGGGUUGUAAAGCGCUUUCAGCGGGGACGAUGAUGACGGUACCCGCAGAAGAAGCCCCGGCUAACUCCGUGCCAGCAGCCGCGGUAAUACGGAGGGGGCAAGCGUUGUUCGGAAUUACUGGGCGUUAAGGGCGCGUAGGCGGCACAUCAAGUCAGAGGUGAAAGCCCCGGGCUCAACCUGGGAACUGCCUUUGGAACUGAUGAGCUAGAGUCCGGAAGAGGAUAGCGGAAUUCCCAGUGUAGAGGUGAAAUUCGUAGAUAUUGGGAAGAACACCAGUGGCGAAGGCGGCUAUCUGGUCCUGUACUGACGCUGAGGCGCGAAAGCGUGGGUAGCGAACGGGAUUAGAUACCCCGGUAGUCC